rnacentral:SRP_RNA from 13 species
GCUGGGUGCGGUGGCAUGUGCCUGUAAUCCAAGUCACUGGGAGGCUGAGGUUGGUGGAUCAAGUGAGCUGAGGAGCUCUGGGCUGCAGCACGCUAUGUCGAACGGGUGUCCAUGCUAAGUUCGGUAUCGAUAUGGUGUUCCUGGGGGAGCCCGGGACCACCAGGUUGUCUAAGGAGGGGUGAACCGGCCCAGGUCGGAAACGAAGCAGGUCAAAUCCCCUGUGCUGUCCAGUAGUGGGAUAAUACCUAUGAGUAGAUGCUGCAGUGCAGCCUUGGCAAAACAUCGAGACCUAAUCUUUU